rnacentral:rRNA from 1 species
AUUGAAACGCUGGCGGCAGGCUUAACACAUGCAAGUCGAGCGGAGACUUCGGUCUUAGCGGCGAACGGGUGAGUAAUACCUAGGAAUCUGCCUAUUAGUGGGGGAUAACGAAUCGAAAGGUUCGCUAAUACCGCAUACGUCCUACGGGANAAAGGGGGGGAUCUUCGGACCUCUCGCUAAUAGAUGAGCCUAGGCCGGAUUAGCUAGUUGGUAGGGUAAAGGCCUACCAAGGCGACGAUCUGUAGCUGGUCUGAGAGGAUGGCCAGCCACACUGGAACUGAGACACGGUCCAGACUCCUACGGGAGGCAGCAGUGGGGAAUAUUGGACAAUGGGGGCAACCCUGAUCCAGCCAUGCCGCGUGUGUGAAGAAGGCCUUCGGGUUGUAAAGCACUUUAAGCGAGGAGGAAGGUUUUUAGUUUAAUACACUAAAGAAUUGACGUUACUCGCAGAAUAAGCACCGGCUAACUCUGUG